GAUGAACGCUGGCGGCGUGCCUAAUACAUGCAAGUCGAGCGAACGGACGAGAAGCUUGCUUUUCUGAUGUUAGCGGCGGACGGGUGAGUAACACGUGGAUAACCUACCUAUAAGACUGGGAUAACUUCGGGAAACCGGAGCUAAUACCGGAUAAUAUUUUGAACCGCAUGGUUCAAAAGUGAAAGACGGCCUUGCUGUCACUUAUAGAUGGAUCCGCGCUGGAUUAGCUAGUUGGUAAGGUAACGGCUUACCAAGGCAACGAUGCAUAGCCGACCUGAGAGGGUGAUCGGCCACACUGGAACUGAGACACGGUCCAGACUCCUACGGGAGGCAGCAGUAGGGAAUCUUCCGCAAUGGGCGAAAGCCUGACGGAGCAACGCCGCGUGAGUGAUGAAGGUCUUCGGAUCGUAAAACUCUGUUAUUAGGGAAGAACAUAUGUGUAAGUAACUGUGCACAUCUUGACGGUACCUAAUCAGAAAGCCACGGCUAACUACGUG
rnacentral:rRNA from 1 species